AUUGAACGCUGGCGGCAUGCUUUACACAUGCAAGUCGAACGGCAGCGCGGGCUUCGGCCUGGCGGCGAGUGGCGAACGGGGGAGUAAUGCAUCGGAACGUGCCCAGUAGUGGGGGAUAGCCCGGCGAAAGCCGGAUUAAUACCGCAUACGACCUGAGGGUGAAAGCGGGGGACCGGAAGGCCUCGCGCUAUUGGAGCGGCCGAUGUCGGAUUAGCUAGUUGGUGGGGUAAAGGCUUACCAAGGCGACGAUCCGUAGCUGGUCUGAGAGGACGACCAGCCACACUGGGACUGAGACGCGGCCCAGAAUCCUACGGGAGGCAGCAGUGGGGAAUUUUGGAGCAUGGGGGCAACCCUGCUCCAGCCAUGCCGCGUGCGGGAAGAAGGCCUUCGGGUUGUAAACCGCUUUUGUUCGGGAAGAAAUCCUCUGGGCUAAUACCCCGGGGGGAUGACGGUACCGGAAGAAUAAGCACCGGCUAACUACGUG
rnacentral:rRNA from 1 species